CCUACGGGUGGCAGCAGUCGAGAAUUAUUCACAAUGGGGGAAACCCUGAUGGUGCGACGCCGCGUGGGGGAAUGAAGGUCUUCGGAUUGUAAACCCCUGUCAUGUGGGAGCAAAUUAAAAAGAUAGUACCACAAGAGGAAGAGACGGCUAACUCUGUGCCAGCAGCCGCGGUAAUACAGAGGUCUCAAGCGUUGUUCGGAAUCACUGGGCGUAAAGCGUGCGUAGGCUGUUUCGUAAGUCGUGUGUGAAAGGCGCGGGCUCAACCCGCGGACGGCACAUGAUACUGCGAGACUAGAGUAAGGGAGGGGGAACCGGAAUUCUCGGUGUAGCAGUGAAAUGCGUAGAUAUCGAGAGGAACACUCGUGGCGAAGGCGGGUUCCUGGACAUUAACUGACGCUGAGGCACGAAGGCCAGGGGAGCGAAAGGGAUUAGAUACCCCAGUAGUC
rnacentral:rRNA from 1 species